UACAGAGGGUGCGAGCGUUAAUCGGAAUUACUGGGCGUAAAGCGCACGUAGGCGGCUUAUCAAGUCAGGCGUGAAAUUCCCGGGCUCAACCUGGGGGCUGCGCUUGAUACUGAUUGGCUUGAAUGCGGGAGAGGAUAGUGGAAUUCCCAGUGUAGAGGUGAAAUUCGUAGAUAUUGGGAAGAACACCGGUGGCGAAGGCGGCUAUCUGGCCCGUAAUUGACGCUGAGGCGCGAAAGCGUGGGGAGCAAACAGG
rnacentral:rRNA from 1 species